rnacentral:rRNA from 1 species
AGAGCGAACGCUGGCGGCAGGCCUAACACAUGCAAGUCGAGCGCCCGUAGCAAUACGGGAGCGGCAGACGGGAUAGUAACACGUGGGAACGCGCCCUUCGGUUCGGAAUAACUCAGGGAAACUUGAGCUAAUACCGAAUACGCCCUUACGGGGAAAGAUUUAUUGCCGAAGGAACGGCCCGCGUCCGAUUAGCUAGUUGGUGAGGUAAUGGCUCACCAAGGCUACGAUCGGUAGCUGGUCUGAGAGGAUGACCAGCAUCACUGGGACUGAGACACGGCCCAGACUCCUACGGGAGGCAGCAGUGGGGAAUAUUGGACAAUGGGCGCAAGCCUGAUCCAGCCAUGCCGCGUGGAUGAUGAAGGCCUUAGGGUUGUAAAGCUCUUCGGAAGGGACGAAACUGGUCCGGGAUAAUAAACCGGGCUCCUGACGGUACCUUAAGAAGAAGCACCGGCUAACUCUGCGCCAGCAGCCGC